CCUACGGGAGGCAGCAGUGGGGAAUUUUGCGCAAUGGGGGAAACCCUGAUGCAGCAACGCCGCGUGAGUGAAGAAGUCUUUCGGUGUGUAAAGCUCUAUCAGCGGGGACGAAAAACGACGGUACCUGACUACGAAGCCCCGGCUAACUACGUGCCAGCAGCCGCGGUAAUACGUAGGGGGCAAGCGUUAUCCGGAUUUACUGGGUGUAAAGGGAGCGUAGACGGCGCGGCAAGUCUGCAGUUAAAGGCAGGGGCUUAACCUCUGAACGGCUUUGGAAACUGCCAUGCUAGAGUGCGGGAGAGGUAAGUGGAAUUCCUGGUGUAGCGGUGAAAUGCGUAGAUAUUAGGAGGAACACCAGUGGCGAAGGCGGUUUACUGGACAGUAACUGACGUUGAGGCUCGAAAGCGGGGGGAGCAAAUAGGAUUAGAUACCCCAGUAGUC
rnacentral:rRNA from 1 species